UCCAUCGUCGACCUGACGUGAUACGCGCGGUCCCGGGUUUCUGGUCAGUGCACGACAAUCAUCGAUCUUCGAUGCGAAGGUGUCCCAAUGCAAAUACAUAUAUCCUUUUUCCAGUGACGAAAAUUCCCUGAUCUCGAAAAAGUGUAAACAAGCUUAUUUUCUCGUCAAAUAUGUAUGUAU